rnacentral:rRNA from 1 species
AUUGAACGCUGGCGGCAGGCCUAACACAUGCAAGUCGAGCGGAUGACGGGAGCUUGCUCCUUGAUUCAGCGGCGGACGGGUGAGUAAUGCCUAGGAAUCUGCCUGGUAGUGGGGGACAACGUUUCGAAAGGAACGCUAAUACCGCAUACGUCCUACGGGAGAAAGCAGGGGACCUUCGGGCCUUGCGCUAUCAGAUGAGCGUAGGUCGGAUUAGCUAGUAGGUGAGGUAAUGGCUCACCUAGGCGACGAUCCGUAACUGGUCUGAGAGGAUGAUCAGUCACACUGGAACUGAGACACGGUCCAGACUCCUACGGGAGGCAGCAGUGGGGAAUAUUGGACAAUGGGCGAAAGCCUGAUCCAGCCAUGCCGCGUGUGUGGAGAAGGUCUUCGGAUUGUAAAGCACUUUAAGUUGGGAGGAAGGGCAGUAAGUUAAUACCUUGCUGUUUUGACGUUACCGACAGAAUAAGCACCGGCUAACUCUGUGCCAGCAGCCGCGGUAAAAC